CUGAGAAGCUCCUCCCUCUUUAUUCUCUUCAGUCUCUUAAAGCUCAUCUCUGAUCGCUCUCUUGUGUUCAGUCUGUACUCAUCACACACUCGCAACAUGCUGUCAGUCUUCAUCCUCCUCAUCAUCACAUCAUCAUGUGUCAGUGGAGCGACUGUAGUGACUCAGACUCCUCCAUUAAUCACAGUCAGUAAAGGAGAAACGCUCUCGUUGGUCUGUAACACAGGCAGCUCAACUGAUGGGGGACGCUGGUAUAAACAGGUCACAGGAGAAAAGCCUCAGUUUGUUUUAAACUCUUACCACAGCUGGAGCUCUCCUAAAUAUGGAUCUGGAUUCUCCUCGUCUAAAUUUACAGUGUCUUAUCCAACCCAGUCAGACUGUCAUCUGUCAAUCAGUGAUGUGGAUGUGGAUGAUUCUGCAGUCUAUUACUGUCACACAUGGGACGACUCUGCUAAAGAGCACGUAUCACAGUGAUUUACAGCAUGACAAAAACCUCCUCACUGCUCAAAAUCACUUCUGCUUCUAGACCACAGAUGAAAAACAGGAAGCAUUUUCAGUAUCUCAUGCUCUUAUCAAACUAAAUUAUGGACGACCACUUAAUUUAGAUAAUGUGAAAAUUAUUUGCUCACUUGUAAAAGACUUUGUUAACUUUUGUACAUACAGUAUGUACCAUCACAUACAUUGAACAAUACCUGUAUUGUACAUUCAACUUUGUACAUUGACUGAUAUUCAUAUACAUCUCCACCCUCCCCAUCCACUUUGGUAGACACUGAUCCUCCUCCAGAUAUUCCUAGUCUAAGCAACCAACUGGGAAAACAGAUUGCUCAACAUCCAGGAUAUCCUCAACUUCCAAGUACUUCAGUUUUCCACUCCAUGUCCACAUUGCAUCACAGAACUCCACAGGGAUCCAGUGUAAGUUUUUCUUCCACAUCACCUGCACCUGCUGGCAGCCGUCCUGUCCAAGGCCAAACCAGGGAGCAAGGACCAUAUCUUCUGCAAUUGUGCACCUCAUCUGAAUUUUCAUCUUCAGCAACACAACAUGAUUUACCUGAUUUACUUUCCUAUACUCCUGGCAAAGAAAUGCAACAUCUUAUUACCCAACUACAAGGGAAAAGCCUCUUUAAAUGUCAAAGAAACAAGAAAAGGCUGUGAAUGAAGUCACCUAUGAAAUGAAAAAAAAAAUGACUUUCCACACUGGCAGGCAACUGGAUGCCUUGAUUGAUAAAAUAGAGUUCAAUCAUUACCAUGUCUCCACCUUAACUGUAACGAAACAACAUGAGGAAACAGAAACUGACAGUUAAUUCAAGACACCAAAGUGAUGCUGACAGAUAAAAUACACAAAACUGAAUCUACUUUGUGUACUGAAUUGUGUGGAUGGUAGUUUAGAGAGCUGGAGUUACAG